rnacentral:rRNA from 1 species
GGGACGGGUGAGUAACACGUGGAUAACCUACCUAUAAGACUGGGAUAACUUCGGGAAACCGGAGCUAAUACCGGAUAAUAUAUUGAACCGCAUGGUUCAAUAGUGAAAGACGGUUUUGCUGUCACUUAUAGAUGGAUCCGCGCCGCAUUAGCUAGUUGGUAAGGUAACGGCUUACCAAGGCAACGAUGCGUAGCCGACCUGAGAGGGUGAUCGGCCACACUGGAACUGAGAUACGGCCCAG